GUCAUUUUGACAAUUAAGAUUCUAUCAAGGAACCCUUUUAAGGUGACUAUAUCAGAGACAAAAACAAAAUGUGUACAAUAGAUAUAAAAAUGAAGGUGUGGUAUGAUUGCCAAAGAGACAACUCUCCACAAGAGACCAAAAUGACACAGAAAUUACCAACUAUAGGUCACCGUACGGUCGUCAACAAUGAACAAAGCCCAUACCGCAUAGUCAGCUAUAAAAUGCCCCGAAAAACAAUGUAAAACGAGAAAACUAACGGCUUAUUUAUGUACAAAAAAUGAACGAAAAACAAAUAUGUAACACAUAAACACAAAACCACUGGAUAAAUAUACAAAACAAAAAGAAAAGGACAGUACAAAAUAUGUUAAGAAUCUAAUCUAAAAUAA
rnacentral:lncRNA from 1 species